AUGAACGCUAGCGACAGGCUUAACACAUGCAAGUCGAGGGGCAUCAUGAGGUAGCAAUACCUUGAUGGCGACCGGCGCACGGGUGAGUAACGCGUAUGCAACCUGCCCGAUACCGGGGUAUAGCCCAUGGAAACGUGGAUUAACACCCCAUAGUACUUUUAUCCUGCCUGGGAUGGGAGUUAAAUGUUCAAGGUAUCGGAUGGGCACGCGUCCUAUUAGUUAGUUGGCGGGGUAACAGCCCACCAAGACGAUGAUAGGUAGGGGUUCUGAGAGGAAGGUCCCCCACAUUGGAACUGAGACACGGUCCAAACUCCUACGGGAGGCAGCAGUGAGGAAUAUUGGUCAAUGGACGAGAGUCUGAACCAGCCAAGUCGCGUGAGGGAAGACUGCCCUAUGGGUUGUAAACCUCUUUUAUAAGGGAAGAAUAAGUUCUACGUGUAGAAUGAUGCCUGUACCUUAUGAAUAAGCAUCGGCUAACUCCGUGCCAGCAGCCGCGGUAAUACGGAGGAUGCGAGCGUUAUCCGGAUUUAUUGGGUUUAAAGGGUGCGUAGGCGGUUUAUUAAGUUAGUGGUUAAAUAUUUGAGCUAAACUCAAUUGUGCCAUUAAUACUGGUAAACUGGAGUACAGACGAGGUAGGCGGAAUAAGUUAAGUAGCGGUGAAAUGCAUAGAAUAUAACUUAGAACUCCGAUAGCGAAGGCAGCUUACCAGACUGUAACUGACGCUGAUGCACGAGAGCGUGGGUAGCGAACAGGAUUAGAUACCCUGGUAGUCCACGCCGUAAACGAUGCUCACUGGUUCUGUGCGAUAUAUUGUACGGGAUUAAGCGAAAGUAUUAAGUGAGCCACCUGGGGAGUACGUCGGCAACGAUGAAACUCAAAGGAAUUGACGGGGGCCCGCACAAGCGGAGGAACAUGUGGUUUAAUUCGAUGAUACGCGAGGAACCUUACCUGGGUUUAAAUGGGAAAUGCCGUAUUUGGAAACAGAUAUUCUCUUCGGAGCGUUUUUCAAGGUGCUGCAUGGUUGUCGUCAGCUCGUGCCGUGAGGUGUCGGGUUAAGUCCCAUAACGAGCGCAACCCUUACCGUUAGUUGCUAGCAUGUAAUGAUGAGCACUCUAACGGGACUGCCACCGUAAGGUGAGAGGAAGGCGGGGAUGACGUCAAAUCAGCACGGCCCUUACACCCAGGGCUACACACGUGUUACAAUGGCCGGUACGGAGGGCCGCUACCAGGUGACUGGAUGCCAAUCUCAAAAGCCGGUCGUAGUUCGGAUUGGAGUCUGUAACCCGACUCCAUGAAGUUGGAUUCGCUAGUAAUCGCGCAUCAGCCAUGGCGCGGUGAAUACGUUCCCGGGCCUUGUACACACCGCCCGUCAAGCCAUGGAAGCCGGGGGUGCCUGAAGUCCGUAACCGCGAGGAUCGGCCUAGGGCAAAACUGA
rnacentral:rRNA from 1 species